AGAAAAGACCGAUUGUAUCAACCAGUGACUCCACCCAUAUGUCCCCCUCCUUGGAACCCUCACACCCUGGGGAGGAGGGAAAACUAAUUAACAUUUCUUAAAACUCCAAUACUCUGGCCACCUGAUGCGAAGAGUUGACUC